rnacentral:rRNA from 1 species
AGAGUUUGAUCAUGGCUCAGGACGAACGCUGGCGGCGUGCCUAACACAUGCAAGUCGAGCGAGGACUUCGGUCCUAGCGGCGGACGGGUGAGUAACACGUGGGUAACCUGCCUCAUAAUGGGGGAUAGCCUCCCGAAAGGGAGAUUAAUACCGCAUAACAUCAAGUUGUCGCAUGACAGUUUGAUCAAAGGAGUAAUCCG